GACGAACCGUACGAACGUUUAUUCGGAAUCACUGGGCUUAAAGGGUGCGUAGGCUGCGCGGAAAGUUGGGUGUGAAAUCCCUCGGCUCAACCGAGGAACUGCGCCCAAAACUGCCGUGCUCGAGGGAGACAGAGGUGAGCGGAACUUAGGGUGGAGUGGUGAAAUGCGUUGAUAUCCUAAGGAACACCGGUGGCGAAAGCGGCUCACUGGGUCUCUUCUGACGCGUGAGGCACGAAAAGCUAGGGUAGCGAACGGGG
rnacentral:rRNA from 1 species